UACAGAGGUCUCAAGCGUUGUUCGGAUUCAUUGGGCGUAAAGGGUGCGUAGGCGGCGCGGUAAGUCGGGUGUGAAAUCUCGGAGCUUAACUCCGAAACUGCAUUCGAUACUGCCGUGCUUGAGGACUGGAGAGGAGACUGGAAUUUACGGUGUAGCGGUGAAAUGCGUAGAUAUCGUAAGGAAGACCAGUGGCGAAGGCGGGUCUCUGGGCUGGUACUGACGCUGAGGAGCGAAAGCGUGGGUAGCAAACAGG
rnacentral:rRNA from 1 species